rnacentral:lncRNA from 1 species
GUCGGGUGUUGCUUACACCCUUUCAUUUUCAAUCUUGAUCAUCAUUAAUUCUUCCAUUUUGUCAUCUUGUAAGAAAGUUUUGUCUCUCAACACAAAAUUGGAGUAGACUCUAAAUUUGGCUUCUAAUGGAGGGAACAACACUCUUGAGCUAUCACAUUCUUGUUUUGAAUCGACAUUACAAUGUCAAUAGUGACAAACAUUUAGGCAUGGAAAAUCACUAGUACUACAAGAG